rnacentral:rRNA from 1 species
AUGCUAGAGAAUAGUUCUGGUUCUUGCAUCUCACCAAGAGAAUAUUAUUGUUUCAAGCUGCAAAUUAGACCUGGGAAGUUUAACAUCUUACUCUUUGGAAGGCGAUUGACUCAACAAUAUAUAGUUGAUAUGUACAUUAAGAUUGAAUCAAUAAGAUUGGCAUUCUUGUCAAAGCCAUCAACUCAGGUUCUCAUCAGAGCAGAUUUGUAUCAAGGAUUGGUCGAUAGCAUUGUUGCCGGUGAAACACGUGGGUGCAUGACAGGUAGGCGCAUUGUGCUUCCCCCAUCAUUUAUCGGAGGACCAAGAGAUAUGCGUCGAAGAUAUCUGGAUGCAAUGGCUUUGGUCCAACGGUUUGGGAAACCAGACAUAUUCCUUACAAUGACUUGCAACCCACAUUGGGAAGAGAUAACUAGAGAACUAGCAGAAGGUCAAUCACCACAAGACAGGCCGGACUUGGUAGCACGAGUCUUCAAGGCAAAAUUGGAGGAUUUAAAGGAUCUUUUGUUUAAGAAGAAAUUCUUUGGUGAAGUUGCUGCACAUGUGCACGUAAUUGAAUUUCAGAAAAGAGGUCUACCACAUGCACAUUUUUUAAUAAUUCUGAAAUCAAACUACAAGAUAACUAAUCCGGACCAAUAUGAUGAGAUAAUAUCAGCUGAAAUUCCUGAUAAUGAUAAAUAUCCUAUGCUGCAUGAUUUAGUUAUUAAGCACAUGAUGCACGGCCCAUGUGGAGUUCUCAACAUAAAUAAUCCUUGCAUGAAAAAUGGAAGUUGUCGGUAUCAUUAUCCUCGACAUUUCGCAGAGACUACACAACAAGGAGAGGACUCUUAUCCAAUUUAUAGGCGCAGGAAUGACGGCCGUCGAGUGCGCAUCAGGGGUGCAGUUUCGGAUAAUAGAUGGGUUGUCCCAUACAAUCCCUAUUUACUUAUUCGAUACAAUUGCCAUAUAAAUAUUGAAGUUUGCUCUAGCGUCAAGGUUGUGAAAUAUUUAUUCAAAUACAUCUACAAAGGUCAUGAUCGUGCCUCCAUUGUCAUCGAAGCCGCAGAAGAUGAUGCAGUUAUUAAUGAAAUUCAUGAGUAUAGAGAUGCAAGGUUUAUUUCACCUCCGGAAGCAAUCUAG